UACGUAGGGGGCAAGCGUUGUCCGGAAUCAUUGGGCGUAAAGAGCGUGUAGGCGGCCCGAUAAGUCCGCUGUGAAAGUCCAGGGCUCAACCCUGGGAUGCCGGUGGAUACUGUCGGGCUCGAGUCCGGAAGAGGAGUGUGGAAUUCCUGGUGUAGCGGUGAAAUGCGCAGAUAUCAGGAGGAACACCGGUGGCGAAGGCGGAUCUCUGGGCCAUUACUGACGCUGAGGAGCGAAAGCGUGGGGAGCGAACAGG
rnacentral:rRNA from 1 species